UGUGUGUACCAGUCUCUGCUACUCCUGUACCACUGAAAACGUUUGUUAUUUUCACAUUGACAGCCUCUAGAGGGCACUGGUGCGGCCUAUAAUCCUGAGCGACUUAUAGUCUGGAAAAUACAGCAAGUCUGAGAACAAGUUGCUUGGAUUUGUAACAUUAAAUCAGCCAAACUUAUUUUACUGUAGCUCUGAGGCCACACACGAUACAGUGUACGAGAAAGGAAACAGAAUAAACCAAUAAAUUGUGGAAUAAGAUGGGGUUAUUUUUUUUGGGUGGUCUGAUCACACAGCUCAGUCCUCUGGAGACUUCAAACUCCACAGUCUUUAGUUGCUCAGCUUCUCCUUGCGGACACUGUGACCUACUUUCAGUCAUUGGAGGUGUCUUUGUAACUGUGGAACUUUUCUAUAGGAAUGUGUACAGUCCUCCUCACAGAAGCUCGGGGCCUCCUAAUCCCCCAGUAAUCCCUGCGCAGAGCAGCUACAUAAUGACCUGUUAGUGAGUACAAUCAUCCAUUUUUACUUCCUUAGCUAAUUUAUCACAGACAGGAUUACAACGCCUCACACACAACCUCCUCCAAGUUAAACAAACUCUGAUGACCAGAGGACAAACUUAACACGUUUGCAAAACCUUACUCUCAUUUAAUCAUAUAUUUUUAAGAAGAAAGAGUCUCUGAUCGGACUGAUCACCGAGAGAGAGAGAGAGAGAAAAAGAGAGGAGUCAGCAGCUGAAUCGGUCAAAGUGGAGCUGACAACAUCAGGGGGUCAAAGGGGAAGUAAAGCUCAUGAGAAAAGGCUCAUGUUUCCGGGGGGGAAGGUUGACAUGUGAUGACAGUUGACACGUUUGACCACAGUGACAGAACGAUGCAGUCAUCAAUCCAACACUGGUGACCAUUUGCAAAAUAAUGAAACUUAAUUUAGACCGGAAUGUGAGGACAAGGGUGAGUGAGAGGCACUUAGGAACAAAAUGUAUUAUAAGAAAUAACACACUUUUCAUUUGUUAUAAGAAAUAAAUACAUAUAUGUAUAAAGACCUAUCACAGUUACGUCAAAACUAUCAAGGUGUUCAAGUAUGCCAAGUAUAACAUCUCUGGCGCUGCAUGAAGCUCGACCUACAGAUAAGGCAGUAGCAGAGCUCAAGGUAAAAUGGAUUCAAAUUGAAAUCAAUGUGACAGUAACUUUUCGUCUACCAGUUUUACCAGUACAUUUACUAAACAAAGUCAAAACAUCAUUGUUUUUUUCAUCCUGUCUCUUUAGCAGUAACCUAGGUAAUUAAUAAUCAUUGUUAAUCAAACACCUAAAAACUCAGUGCAACAAUUUAAACAAUUCCUAAAAUGUAAAGAAAAUUUGAAAUAAUAAUAAUAAAAAAAAA